rnacentral:rRNA from 1 species
UCGGGGUACACGAGUGGCGAACGGGUGAGUAACACGUGGGUAAUCUGCCCUGCACAUCGGGAUAAGCCUGGGAAACUGGGUCUAAUACCGAAUAGGACCACAGAACACAUGUCCUGUGGUGGAAAGCUUUUGCGGUGUGGGAUGGGCCCGCGGCCUAUCAGCUUGUUGGUGGGGUGAUGGCCCACCAAGGCGACGACGGGUAGCCGGCCUGAGAGGGUGUCCGGCCACACUGGGACUGAGAUACGGCCCAGACUCCUACGGGAGGCAGCAGUGGGGAAUAUUGCACAAUGGGCGAAAGCCUGAUGCAGCGACGCCGCGUGGGGGAUGACGGCCUUCGGGUUGUAAACCUCUUUCACCAUCGACGAAGGUUCGGGUUUUCUCGGAUUGACGGUAGGUGGAGAAGAAGCACCGGCCAACUACGUGCCAGCAGCCGCGGUAAUACGUAGGGUGCGAGCGUUGUCCGGAAUUACUGGGCGUAAAGAGCUCGUAGGUGGUUUGUCGCGUUGUUCGUGAAAUCUCACGGCUUAACUGUGAGCGUGCGGGCGAUACGGGCAGACUUGAGUACUGCAGGGGAGACUGGAAUUCCUGGUGUAGCGGUGGAAUGCGCAGAUAUCAGGAGGAACACCGGUGGCGAAGGCGGGUCUCUGGGCAGUAACUGACGCUGAGGAGCGAAAGCGUGGGGAGCGAACAGGAUUAGAUACCCUGGUAGUCCACGCCGUAAACGGUGGGUACUAGGUGUGGGUUUCCUUCCUUGGGAUCCGUGCCGUAGCUAACGCAUUAAGUACCCCGCCUGGGGAGUACGGCCGCAAGGCUAAAACUCAAAGAAAUUGACGGGGGCCCGCACAAGCGGCGGAGCAUGUGGAUUAAUUCGAUGCAACGCGAAGAACCUUACCUGGGUUUGACAUGCACAGGACGCCGGCAGAGAUGUCGGUUCCCUUGUGGCCUGUGUGCAGGUGGUGCAUGGCUGUCGUCAGCUCGUGUCGUGAGAUGUUGGGUUAAGUCCCGCAACGAGCGCAACCCUUGUCUCAUGUUGCCAGCGGGUAAUGCCGGGGACUCGUGAGAGACUGCCGGGGUCAACUCGGAGGAAGGUGGGGAUGACGUCAAGUCAUCAUGCCCCUUAUGUCCAGGGCUUCACACAUGCUACAAUGGCCGGUACAAAGGGCUGCGAUGCCGCGAGGUUAAGCGAAUCCUUUUAAAGCCGGUCUCAGUUCGGAUCGGGGUCUGCAACUCGACCCCGUGAAGUCGGAGUCGCUAGUAAUCGCAGAUCAGCAACGCUGCGGUGAAUACGUUCCCGGGCCUUGUACACACCGCCCGUCACGUCAGAAAGUCGGUAACACCCGAAGCC